GGAGUCAUGUCCAAGAACUGAGGAAAGGCUGCUGUUCUGUACCCUGAUUGCACCUGGAUGGCCCAUCUCCUGCCACAUUGAUUGUUUCAGCCCCUGGGCAUUCUCCUGCCUACAAUGCCAGCUUUCAGUCAAGACCCACCUGGGUCAAAACUCUUUAAAGUGGACUGUUGCCAUACAGUCCUUUGUCCCUCAAAGCCCCUGAACAUCCUUCAGUGGACCAUCUACACUACUGAAAGUGAGGACACCAGAAGACUGAGGAAUGACCAGUGGAUGUUACAGUGAACAACAUGAAGAUGUCCUCUAUGAAGACAGAAAAAAUACUUUGUAGGCUCUCUUGUUUAAUUGAAAGAGCAAAACUGAAGGUGCUGUUUUCAUAUGUGAUGGAGAGCAAGAUUCGAAGUUAUAUAAACUCCAGAGACCAGACCAAAGAAGAUGUUGAACUCCAGACAACCUAAGCCCUCUUCACAUACAGAACAUGCAGGUUAAAAGGGGAGGGGAGGGAAGAGAGCACAUUUAGUCCCGCCUACAAUGCCAUGUCUCUCUUCCUGCCCCCACUUUUGCUGCUGUUUAGAUAAUCUUGAUAAUUAGGGAUGUAGAUCGUGCAGCCUGCAGGGAACCUCCAGACAUAGAGAAGAUCCCCUGAAGUAUACAUUAUCCAGAGCAUGAUAAUGGUAAAUGUACGCAAGAAGAUGCUCUACCAAUAUCAACGUGUUGACAAUUUAUUUAUUUAUUUAUUUCUGCGAUUUAUUUAUCGCCCAUCUGGCUGGAAACCGAGCCACUCCGAGCGAUGUACAAAGUCAUAAUAUAUAAGUAUCACAACAUCAAAACAGCAAUAAAACUAAAACAACAGGUAAAGGUCACCACAACAAAGUUCAACAAAGCUUCUGGC